rnacentral:rRNA from 1 species
UACGUAGGGACCGAGCGUUGUCCGGAAUCAUUGGGCGUAAAGAGCGUGUAGGCGGCCUUUUAAGUCCUGCGUGAAAUCCUGCGGCUCAACCGCAGACGGUCGUGGGAAACUGGAAGGCUAGAGUGCGGGAGAGGAGAGUGGAAUUCCCGGUGUAGUGGUGAAAUGCGUAGAGAUCCGGAGGAACCCCAGAGGCGAAGGCGGCGCUCUGGCUCGCAACUGACGCUCAGACACGACAGCAUGGGGAGCGAACGGGG